rnacentral:lncRNA from 1 species
CAGUGUUUACCAAACCAAGAUUUAAAACAUGUGUUAUGGUAAAGAACUUCCUUUCAAAAUGUUCUUAAACAUUAUUUAUAUAAUCAUUCUUACAAGAAUAUAAACAUUCAGNNNNNACUUAUGCAUAUUUUGCAAUUGUAUUUUUAAAUAAAAUAAAAUUUUUGAAUAUAAGAAUUAGCUUUAUAACAGGCCUGACACUGACUCACAGUAUGUCUGCUCUUCAUUCUUCCAAGAGAUGAUCCUAUUUGUUGGUGUUGUUUAAUAGUCCAUAGAAGGACUAGGCAAG